UCCCUGCACAUUUCAAAUUGGAGGAUGAUCUCUCAUUUCUGUCGUUUCCGCGGUUUCAGGAAUCGAUUCUCGUCAAACGCGCGUUUUGCGACAGGGAACAGUGCUGGGAUGAGAGCGUGCCAUGGGAGAACACAGUCGCUGUAUAAAACAAACAUGCUGGGGAAGAACCGGUUUCGCGAGUCCGUCUGGCGGGAGAUAGUGCAGCGGUAGUCCUGGAGACCUGCUGGUAGCAAACGUAGUGACAGUGGAGGAACUAAGGAUAAACAAAGCAAAGCCGAGGAGCUGUUGGAACUUGAAAUUUCGGUUUGUUGGGCGCAGCUUCACAACCAACUACAAGACAAUUGCGAGGUUGACGCUACCACCGUACUUCAAGGACCGGUUGACUGAGAUUUCAAUGAAAUCUCCCGGGAUCUUGACGAAUAUAAAAAAUUAAGCCAACUACCUAAGUUUAUAUCAAUAUAAAAAAUA